GCUUGCUCCCGGAUGUUAGCGGCGGACGGGUGAGUAACACGUGGGUAACCUGCCUGUAAGACUGGGAUAACUCCGGGAAACCGGAGCUAAUACCGGAUAGUUCCUUGAACCGCAUGGUUCAAGGAUGAAAGACGGUUUCGGCUGUCACUUACAGAUGGACCCGCGGCGCAUUAGCUAGUUGGUGGGGUAAUGGCUCACCAAGGCGACGAUGCGUAGCCGACCUGAGAGGGUGAUCGGCCACACUGGGACUGAGACACGGCCCAGACUCCUACGGGAGGCAGCAGUAGGGAAUCUUCCGCAAUGGACGAAAGUCUGACGGAGCAACGCCGCGUGAGUGAUGAAGGUUUUCGGAUCGUAAAGCUCUGUUGUUAGGGAAGAACAAGUGCGAGAGUAACUGCUCGCACCUUGACGGUACCUAACCAGAAAGCCACGGCUAACUACGUGCCAGCAGCCGCGGUAAUACGUAGGUGGCAAGCGUUGUCCGGAAUUAUUGGGCGUAAAGGGCUCGCAGGCGGUUUCUUAAGUCUGAUGUGAAAGCCCCCGGCUCAACCGGGGAGGGUCAUUGGAAACUGGGAAACUUGAGUGCAGAAGAGGAGAGUGGAAUUCCACGUGUAGCGGUGAAAUGCGUAGAGAUGUGGAGGAACACCAGUGGCGAAGGCGACUCUCUGGUCUGUAACUGACGCUGAGGAGCGAAAGCGUGGGGAGCGAACAGGAUUAGAUACCCUGGUAGUCCACGCCGUAAACGAUGAG
rnacentral:rRNA from 1 species